AGAGUUUGAUCCUGGCUCAGGACGAACGCUGGCGGCGCGCCUAACACAUGCAAGUCGAACGAGCGAGAGAGAGCUUGCUUUCUCGAGCGAGUGGCGAACGGGUGAGUAACGCGUGAGGAACCUGCCUCAAAGAGGGGGACAACAGUUGGAAACGACUGCUAAUACCGCAUAAGCCCACGGCUCGGCAUCGAGCAGAGGGAAAAGGAGCAAUCCGCCUUGAGAUGGCCUCGCGUCCGAUUAGCCAGUUGGUGAGGUAAUGGCCCACCAAGGCAACGAUCGAUAGCCGGACUGAGAGGUUGAACGGCCACAUUGGGACUGAGACACGGCCCAGACUCCUACGGGAGGCAGCAGUGGGGAAUAUUGCACAAUGGGGGAAACCCUGAUGCAGCGACGCCGCGUGGAGGAAGAAGGUCUUCGGAUUGUAAACUCCUGUUGUUGAGGAAGAUAAUGACGGUACUCAACAAGGAAGUGACGGCUAACUACGUGCCAGCAGCCGCGGUAAAACGUAGGUCACAAGCGUUGUCCGGAAUUACUGGGUGUAAAGGGAGCGCAGGCGGGAAGACAAGUUGGAAGUGAAAUCUAUGGGCUCAACCCAUAAACUGCUUUCAAAACUGUUUUUCUUGAGUAGUGCAGAGGUAGGCGGAAUUCCCGGUGUAGCGGUGGAAUGCGUAGAUAUCGGGAGGAACACCAGUGGCGAAGGCGGCCUACUGGGCACCAACUGACGCUGAGGCUCGAAAGUGUGGGUAGCAAACAGGAUUAGAUACCCUGGUAGUCCACACCGUAAACGAUGAUUACUAGGUGUUGGAGGAUUGACCCCUUCAGUGCCGCAGUUAACACAAUAGGUAAUCCACCUGGGGAGUACGACCGCAAGGUUGAAACUCAAAGGAAUUGACGGGGGCCCGCACAAGCAGUGGAGUAUGUGGUUUAAUUCGACGCAACGCGAAGAACCUUACCAAGUCUUGACAUCCUGCGACGAUGCUGGAAACAGUAUUUUCCUUCGGGACGCAGAGACAGGUGGUGCAUGGUUGUCGUCAGCUUGUGUCGUGAGAUGUUGGGUUAAGUCCCGCAACGAGCGCAACCCUUACUGUCAGUUACUACGCAAGAGGACUCUGGCAGGACUGCCGUUGACAAAACGGAGGAAGGUGGGGAUGACGUCAAAUCAUCAUGCCCUUUAUGACUUGGGCUACACACGUACUACAAUGGCGUUAAACAAAGAGAAGCAAGACCGCGAGGUGGAGCAAAACUCAGAAACAACGUCCCAGUUCGGACUGCAGGCUGCAACUCGCCUGCACGAAGUCGGAAUUGCUAGUAAUCGUGGAUCAGCAUGCCACGGUGAAUACAUUCCCGGGCCUUGCACUCACCGCCCGUCA
rnacentral:rRNA from 1 species